rnacentral:piRNA from 1 species
UGUGGUUCAGAAGCCUCUGCCUG